AUGAACGCUGGCGGCGUGCCUCAUACAUGCAAGUCGAGCGAACAGACGAGGAGCUUGCUCCUCUGACGUUAGCGGCGGACGGGUGAGUAACACGUGGAUAACCUACCUAUAAGACUGGGAUAACUUCGGGAAACCGGAGCUAAUACCGGAUAAUAUAUUGAACCGCAUGGUUCAAUAGUGAAAGACGGUUUUGCUGUCACUUAUAGAUGGAUCCGCGCCGCAUUAGCUAGUUGGUAAGGUAACGGCUUACCAAGGCAACGAUGCGUAGCCGACCUGAGAGGGUGAUCGGCCACACUGGAACUGAGACACGGUCUAGACUCCUACGGGAGGCAGCAGUAGGGAAUCUUCCGCAAUGGGCGAAAGCCUGACGGAGCAACGCCGCGUGAGUGAUGAAGGUCUUCGGAUCGUAAAACUCUGUUAUUAGGGAAGAACAAAUGUGUAAGUAACUAUGCACGUCUUGACGGUACCUAAUCAGAAAGCCACGGCUAACUACGUG
rnacentral:rRNA from 1 species